GAUCAUGGCUCAGGAUGAACGCUGACAGAAUGCUUAACACAUGCAAGUCAACUUGAAUUUGGGUUUUUAACUUAGGUUUGGGUGGCGGACGGGUGAGUAACGCGUAAAGAACUUGCCUCACAGUUAGGGACAACAUUUGGAAACGAAUGCUAAUACCUAAUAUUAUGAUAAUAGGGCAUCCUAUGAUUAUGAAAGCUAUAAGCGCUGUGAGAGAGCUUUGCGUCCCAUUAGCUAGUUGGAG
rnacentral:rRNA from 1 species